UCAGGAAUUUUCCGCAAUGGACGAAAGUCUGACGGAGCGACGCCGCGUGGAGGAUGAAGGUUUUCGGAUCGUAAACUCCUUUUAAGUGGGAACAAGUUCUGAGUGUACCACUUGAAUAAGGUGCUGCAAACUACGUGCCAGAAGCAUCGGUGAUACGUAGGCACCAAACUUUAUCCGGAUUUACUGGGCGUAAAGAGAUGCGUAGGUGUCUAGGUAAGUUCAUCGUUAAAUCUACCGGCUCAACCGGUAAACUGCGGUGAAAACUAUUUAGAUUGAGUCAGCUAGGGGGGAACGGAAUUUCCAGUGUAGCAGUGAAAUGCGUUGAUAUUGGAAAGAACACCAAUGGCGAAGGCAGUUCCCUGGGGCUUGACUGACACUAAUGCUCGAAAGCGUGGGUAGCAAAACGG
rnacentral:rRNA from 1 species